CUGCUGCUCUCUGCUUCUCGUGGUGAGCUGAAGUGUUUGGUGGACCUGGAAGCUCACAGAACAUCAGCUGGGCAGAGGGAUCCUCCUCCUGUCAUCACUGCCACCACUGUCUGAUGUCUCCAGGACAAGAUUUUUGUUUGAAGCUGCCUUUUUAAUUGGAAAUCAAAAGUUAACCUAAAAAAUCAGCACAUGGAAAUAGAAUUUAUGGAAAUGGUUCAAGUGACAUGACUUUAAAAUCCCUGAAUUUGUGAUUUGUGACCUUUUAUCCUCCCUCAUUUUCAUUCUAAUUUAGAAGACAUCAGAAAUGUCAAAAAUCUCUAAAGAAGGGAAAACCCACCCAGCUCUAACAUUUACUGAGCACUUCUCAGCUUUCAAUGAUAUUAAGAGUUCAGAGAGAAAAAUGCUCUAAUUAAAACCACAGUGCAACCACAAGAGCAAGCUGAAGCACUGACAGAGGAGAAUAGAAUCAAACUGCCCCAUAGUGACCUCCGGAGAUGCUCAUUGUAGCCAGCAAAUGAAGGUUCAAGUCAUCGGAGCAGACUUUGAUCAGUUGUUUCUAUGCUCCUGUGGCUCAGUGACUCCCAGAAACCACAGUUCUGU